UACGGAGGGUGCAAGCGUUGCUCGGAAUUAUUGGGCGUAAAGGGUAGGUAGGUGGUCUCAUUUGUCUGGGGUGAAAGCCUUGAGCUUAACUCAAGAAGUGCCCCAGAAACGGUGAGACUGGAGUCCUGGAGAGGGUCGUGGAAUUCCCGGUGUAGCGGUGAAAUGCGCAGAUAUCAGGAGGAACACCGGUGGCGAAGGCGGGUCUCUGGGCAACAACUGACGCUGAGGAGCGAAAGCGUGGGGAGCGAACAGG
rnacentral:rRNA from 1 species